rnacentral:rRNA from 1 species
GAUGAACGCUGGCGGCGUGCCUAAUACAUGCAAGUCGAGCGAACAGAUGAGGAGCUUGCUCCUCUGACGUUAGCGGCGGACGGGUGAGUAACACGUGGAUAACCUACCUAUAAGACUGGGAUAACUUCGGGAAACCGGAGCUAAUACCGGAUAAUAUAUUGAACCGCAUGGUUCAAUAGUGAAAGACGGUUUUGCUGUCACUUAUAGAUGGAUCCGCGCCGCAUUAGCUAGUUGGUAAGGUAACGGCUUACCAAGGCAACGAUGCGUAGCCGACCUGAGAGGGGGAUCGGCCACACUGGAAGUGAAACACGGGCCAGACUCCUACGGGAGGCAGCAGUAGGGAAUCUUCCGCAAUGGGCGGAAGCCUGACGGAGCAACGCCGCGUGAGUGAUGAAGGUCUUCGGAUCGUAAAACUCUGUUAUUGGGGAAGAACAAAUGUGUAAGUAACUAUGCACGUCUUGACGGUACCUAAUCAGAAAGCCACGGCUAACUACGUG